UGGCGGCGUGCCUAACNCAUGCAAGUCGAGACGAACCAGUUCGCGGCAUAGCUCGUACGGUAGCGGCGGACGGGUGAGUAACACGUGGGUAACCCCACCUAGGGACCGGGAUAAUGCCUGGAAACGGGCCGCUAAUACCGGGAUACGCUCUCGGCGGCACAAGCCUCGUGGAGGAAAGGUCUCGCAAGCAGACACUCCUGGACGGACUCGCGGCGCAUGAGCUAGUUGGCGGGGUCACGGCCCACCCAAGGCAAUGAUGGGUAGCCGGUGUGAGAGGAUGACCGGCCACAGGGGGACUGAGACACGGCCCUGACUCCUACGGGAGGCAGCAGUGGGGAAUCUUCGGCAAUGGGCGAAAGCCUGACGGAGCGACGCCGCGUGGGGGACGAAGGCCUUCGGUUUGUAAACCUCUUUCAGCAGGGACGAAGCGCAAGUGACGGUACCUGUAGAAGAAGCACCGGCCAACUACGUGCCAGCAGCCGCGGUAAUACGUAGGGUGCGAGCGUUGUCCGGAAUUACUGGGCGUAAAGAGCUCGUAGGUGGUUUGUCGCGUUGUUCGUGAAAACUCACAGCUUAACUGUGGGCGUGCGGGCGAUACGGGCAGACUGGAGUACUGCAGGGGAGACUGGAAUUCCUGGUGUAGCGGUGGAAUGCGCAGAUAUCAGGAGGAACACCGGUGGCGAAGGCGGGUCUCUGGGCAGUAACUGACGCUGAGGAGCGAAAGCGUGGGGAGCGAACAGGAUUAGAUACCCUGGUAGUCCACGCCGUAAACGGUGGGUACUAGGUGUGGGUUUCCUUCCUUGGGAUCCGUUCCGCAGCUAACGCAUUAAGUACCCCGCCUGGGGAGUACGGCCGCAAGGCUAAA
rnacentral:rRNA from 1 species